rnacentral:rRNA from 1 species
CAAUGUGAGCUGCAACCCCGGGAACUGGGGCUAAUCCCUGAUAGACGAGAACUCCUGGAAUGGGUUCUCGUCUAAAGGGCAUCAAAAUCACGCUUUUUGAUGUCGCUCAAGGAUGGGGCCGCGGCCGAUCAGGCUGUUGGUGAGGCAACGGCUCACCAAACCUAUAACCGGUACGGGCCGUGGGAGCGGGAGCCCGGAGAUGGGAACUGAGACAAGGUCCCAGGCCCUACGGGGCGCAGCAGUCGCGAAAACUCGUCAAUGCACGAAAGUGUGAACGGGCUACCCCGAGUGCCGUCCGCUGAGGAUGGCUUUUCUCUGCUGUAAGGAGGCGGAGGAAUAAGGCGAGGGCAAGUCUGGUGUCAGCCGCCGCGGUAAUACCAGCUCGCCGAGUGGUGGGGAUGAUUAUUGGGCUUAAAGCGUCCGUAGCCGGCUUUUCAAGUCUCUCGUUAAAUCCAGCGAUUCAACCGUUGGACUGCGGGAGAUACUGUUAGGCUAGGGGGCGGGAGAAGCCGACGGUAUUCUCGGGGUAGGGGUAAAAUCCUAUAAUCCCGGGAAGACCACCAGUGGCGAAGGCGGUCGGCUAGCACGCGCUCGACGGUGAGGGACGAAAGCUGGGGGAGCGAACCGGAUUAGAUACCCGGGUAGUCCCAGCUGUAAACGAUGCGGGCUAGGUGUUGGAGCGGCUACGAGCCGCUUCAGUGCCGCAGGGAAGCCAUUAAGCCUGCCGCCUGGGGAGUACGGCCGCAAGGCUGAAACUUAAAGGAAUUGGCGGGGGAGCAC